rnacentral:lncRNA from 1 species
AUUUGGAAGUGGGCAGCUUUUGGUUGAAAAUGGUAAGUUGAACAUACUCAUUUAUCCCUGUUCUCUCUUGAAACACCAAUAAAAUGACAGUGACUGGACUUUUAUUUAUUAUUUAUUUAUUUAUUUAUUUAUUCAUUUGGCUGUGCCUGCAGCAUAUGGAAGUUUCUGGACCAGGCAUGGAACCUGAGCCACAGCAGUGAACCAAGCCGCCUUGGUGACAACAUCGGAUCCUUCUGCUGCACCAUGAGGGAACUCCGACAAUGACUGAACUUUCAGCAUGAUGUAUGGCAUAAACUCAAGGACGAAAAGAAGGGAAGAGGGGAUGAUAAGGAUACUGAAAGUAAGAAAACAAAUGGACACCUGGCCCAGUUGGUAUUAGCAGACCUGAUGAGCAGUCUGAUUCAUAAGCUGGUAGAAGCAGAAAAGCAAAGAGAUUUACACCCUAGAGCCCCAGAAAGGUUCUGUAUUCUGAAACUUCUGAAGAGGGUGAAGUUGGGCCUUACCAGACAAGGGCUGAAGAUAUGUAAAGGCGAAGGGUCCUCUAGAUCCUCCCAGCCAGACACAUCGGAUGACAUCUUCUUCUGUGUCCUGUAUAUGGCUGGAAAUGUACUGUUGAAGGGAGUGAAUCAGAGGGUCUCUGGACUAGUGGAUACCAGGAAGUUCAGGCUAGGCGUCCAAACCACAGCCACAGCAGUGCAGGAUCCAAGCCAUGUCUGCAACCUACACCACAGCUCACAGCAAUGCCAGAUCUUUAACCCAGUGAGCAAGGCCAGGGAUUAAACCUGCGUCCUCCUGGAUACUAGUUAGGUUUGUUACUGCUGAGCUGCGACAGGAACUCCCCUGGUUUUCCCUUUUUCCAAUCAAGGGUGAUGUUUUUAAGAUACAUCUGUGUUGCUAUAACUGUAAUCUGAGCCAUUCGUAUAAAAUCCUGUUGUUAUUUCAUGGUAUUUUAUAGUGUGUAUUUACCUGCUUUUACAUGCUCAUCCUCCCAGAAAUGGACAUCAGAAUUCCCUUCCACCCUAUCCUCUCACUUACCUCAAAAGACACACAACAGUAAACAUCCCCAGGCAUUUCCUCUGAUGAUCGUGUGUGAGAAUUUCUCCCGCUUUGUGCCCUGGAGGGAGAUUGCUCGCUAAGCUAAGCGUAUGUGUAAGGGAGUCAGUGUUGAUAGUUUGCUUUCCAGGAUGUUCCAUCGCUGGGACACGAUGAUCAUUACAUUCCUCCAUCCCUGCUAAUCCAGUUCUGUUUUCAGUUUUUCUGUCCCCUGCAAAAGUUUCCUUGUGCCUCUUUGGGUUAUUGUUAAUCUUGUUAAUUUUUUGAUGAGAACACUUAGCAUGGGAUCUACCCUCCUAACAAACGUCUAAGUAUAUAAUACUGUGUUGUUAACUCUGGGCCGUGUGUUGUACAUCAGAUCUCUAGAAUUUAUCCUGCAUAACUGAAACUUUAUCCCCAUUGAACACCUCUUCAUUUUCCCCUCUUCCUAGCCUCUGGCCGUCAUUCUGUUCUCUGCUUAUUUGGGCUUGACUAUUUCAGAUAUAUCAUAUGAUGGAAUUAUGCGGUAUUUGUCCUUUUGUGACUACCUUAUUGCACUUAGCAAAAUGUCCUCCAGCUUCAUCUGUGUUGUCAUGUGUAGCAGGAUCUCCUUCUUUUUACGGCUGAAUCAUAUUCUAUUAUUGUAUGUAUAUAGCCCAUCUUCUUUGUCUGUUCCUAUGUCUAUGGACAUUUAGAUUGUAUGGAAACAGUCUUAGUUAUUGUGAAUAAUAUUGCAUUGAACAUGGAUAUGCCGAUUAUUUCCUUGGGAUCCUGAUUUCAGUUCUUUUGGGUAUAUACCUACAAGUGGGAUUCCUGGAUCAUAUGGUAGUUUUAUUUUUAAUUUUUUGAGGAACCUCCAUCUUGUCUUCCAUAGAGGCUGCACCAUUUUGCAUUCCCACUAACAAUGUCCAGGGUUCCAAUUUCUCCACAUCCUCACCGACAAGAUUUUAACACAGUUUUAUAGUUUUUGCUACGGCAAAAAUGUUUGUAAUUUUUCCUAGAUUCAGAAUUGCAUUUGCAUUUAUCUAAUUGCUAAUGAUUUUGAAUAUCUUUUUAUAAGCUUGCUAGCUUUUGAGGCUUCCUCUUCUGUAAAUUGACUGUUUCCUCUUACCAUAUUUCUGUUGGGGCGGCUGUAUGUUUCUUAUUGAUUUGCAUGAUUUUCUGAUAUAUUUUAGAUCUGAAUCUCUUGUUGGCUGCUUACCUCAGAGCUGAGGUCUGCCCUUCAGUGACAAGUCCUGCCUUAAGAUGUAGCCAUAGAAUCUUGGAAACAGAAAAAUGACCCUCAGACUUGAGACAGAAUAAACGGUGGUGAUCCUCUGUGUGACACAUUCAUGCUUAUGACCCCAGGGACCACUGGUGUUACCUUGUCAUUAAAUUUUCUGACUUGUC